rnacentral:rRNA from 2 species
AUUGGGCGUAGAGCUCGUAGGCGGUCUGUCGCGUCUGCUGUGAAACCCGAGGCUCAACCUCGGGCCUGCAGUGGGUACGGGCAGACUAGAGUGCGGUAGGGGAGAUAGGAAUUCCUGGUGUAGCGGUGGAAUGCGCAGAUAUCAGGAGGAACACCGAUGGCGAAGGCAGAUCUCUGGGCCGUAACUGACGCUGAGGAGCGAAAGGGUGGGGAGCAAACAGGCUUAGAUACCCUGGUAGUCCACCCCGUAAACGUUGGGAACUAGUUGUGGGGUCCAUUCCACGGAUUCCGUGACGCAGCUAACGC